rnacentral:tRNA from 1 species
GAAUCAUUGGCUCAGAGGCAGAGCGUCUGUCUCGUAUACUGAAAGCCGCUGUUUCGAUUCCAGCAUGUUACU